rnacentral:rRNA from 1 species
UACGUAGGGGGCAAGCGUUGUCCGGAAUUACUGGGCGUAAAGCGUGCGCAGGCGGUUCGUGAUGUCUGGUGUGAAAGCCCCGGGCUUAACCUGGGAAUUGCAUUGGAAACUAGCGGGCUGGAGUGUGGCAGAGGGGGGUGGAAUUCCACGUGUAGCAGUGAAAUGCGUAGAGAUGUGGAGGAACACCGAUGGCGAAGGCAGCCUCCUGGGCCAGCACUGACGCUCAUGCACGAAAGCGUGGGGAGCAAACAGG